rnacentral:rRNA from 1 species
GCGGAGGAAAAGAAACCAACAGGGAUUGCCUUAGUAGCGGCGAGUGAAGCGGCAAAAGCUCAAAUUUGAAAUCUGGCACUUUCAGUGUCCGAGUUGUAAUUUGAAGAAGGUAUCUUUGGGUCUGGCUCUUGUCUAUGUUUCUUGGAACAGAACGUCACAGAGGGUGAGAAUCCCGUGCGAUGAGAUGUCCCAGACCUAUGUAAAGUUCCUUCGAAGAGUCGAGUUGUUUGGGAAUGCAGCUCUAAGUGGGUGGUAAAUUCCAUCUAAAGCUAAAUAUUGGCGAGAGACCGAUAGCGAACAAGUACAGUGAUGGAAAGAUGAAAAGAACUUUGAAAAGAGAGUGAAAAAGUACGUGAAAUUGUUGAAAGGGAAGGGCUUGAGAUCAGACUUGGUAUUUUGUAUGUUACUCUCUCGGGGGUGGCCUCUACAGUUUACCGGGCCAGCAUCAGUUUGAGCGGUAGGAUAAGUGCAAAGAAAUGUGGCACUGCUUCGGUAGUGUGUUAUAGUCUUUGUCGAUACUGCCAGCUUAGACUGAGGACUGCGGCUUCGGCCUAGGAUGUUGGCAUAAUGAUCUUAAGUCGCCCGUC